rnacentral:lncRNA from 1 species
CCCGGCAAGUCGCGACAAUGGACACCACUCCACUCUCUAUAACAAACUCCAUGUGGCCCCGAAUGGCCCACUACCAGGCAGUUACGGACGUUACUAUCAAUCGGUUAUGCUCUCCCGUCUAUAAAAGAGACCCCCCAGAUACAUUCUCCUCUAAGCUCUAAGCUCUAUCUCUAAACUUUGCUAAAAUCUCAUUCGAGUGCUCCAUUUCUGUUGAAGCAGAGUACUGACUUGAGCAUCGGAGGGUCUUGCCGGAGCACCCCUAACUCCAGUUUAGACUUUUCUUGCAGGUCUUGAUGGCGACCGUGAUCUCCUCGACUCUAGCUUCUCCGGCAUCGAUGAAGUUUUGCACCAACAAAAUUGGUGCUAGAGGGAGGGUUGUGUCUUCGCAGGACCCUUGUUAUUAAAGGAGUACUCAAUGGAAUUGUCUCCGAUCAUUUUCUUCAACAUCUUCUUCUUCUUCUUCGACCAGAUCCCAACCUGAUGCCUCUCUGAAAGGCAUCCACCAGGUGAUCUACGGCCUCCAUGGCCAGAUCUCAGCAAGAUCUGCCAGCUCCAGUCUCAUCUCCAGUUUCCCAGGCUCCUCCUCCUCCAGCAACGAC